rnacentral:lncRNA from 1 species
UACAAUUGCAUGUUUCUCAACUUCAUUUAGGGGCACAUAUGCUUUAUGGGAUUUGCCAGUAAAAUUUGAAAAUGCAAUGAGCAGAUUUGUGUGACUAGCUUCAGUUAUAUCAUAAAUCGAUCUUGCACUCUAAGAAAUUUCAUAUAGAGAUACAUGUGCAUUUACAUGAAUUGACAAAAAGUAAAGUUCAUAUUUGAGUUGAAUCUCAGAGUUGUUGUCACUAAUGGUUAGCUCCUGAUUAAGUUGCGCCAAGUUAACAAGCUCAAUCAACAAAUCAUCAUUAGAAUUUCAUCUGAUUGCAACAAUGAUUUUGAAUUCGUGGAGGUAGUAAAGAAAGGAGAACCAGCCAACAUUGAAACUUUUCUAUAACUCGAAAUGUUAAAAUUCAAAAAUGUAUAAAAAUACGUACCAAAAGAUUAUAGAGCCACCCAUGGUAUAAUGACAUCCAUAGUAAACAAAGUAUUUCUAACCUAUG